rnacentral:rRNA from 1 species
AUUGAACGCUGGCGGCAGGCUUAACACAUGCAAGUCGAGCGAGCGGCGGACGGGUGAGUAAUGUCUGGGAAACUGCCUGAUGGAGGGGGAUAACUACUGGAAACGGUAGCUAAUACCGCAUACCAUCAGAUGUGCCCAGAUGGGAUUAGCUAGUAGGUGGGGUAAUGGCUCACCUAGGCGACGAUCCCUAGCUGGUCUGAGAGGAUGACGAGGCAACAUGGAAAUGAGACACGGGCCGUACUCCUACGGGAGGAAGCAGUGGGGAAUAGUGCACAAUGGGCGCAAGCCUGUGACACACAUGCCGCGGGUGUGAAGAAGGUCUGAGUGUUGUAAAGCACUUUCAGCGAGGAGGCGUUACUCGCAGAAGAAGCACCGGCUAACUCCGUGCCAGCAGACGCGGUAAUUC